rnacentral:rRNA from 1 species
GGUUAAGCGACUAAGCGUACACGGUGGAUGCCCUGGCAGUCAGAGGCGAUGAAGGACGUGCUAAUCUGCGAUAAGCGUCGGUAAGGUGAUAUGAACCGUUAUAACCGGCGAUUUCCGAAUGGGGAAACCCAGUGUGUUUCGACACACUAUCAUUAACUGAAUCCAUAGGUUAAUGAGGCGAACCGGGGGAACUGAAACAUCUAAGUACCCCGAGGAAAAGAAAUCAACCGAGAUUCCCCCAGUAGCGGCGAGCGAACGGGGAGCAGCCCAGAGCCUGAAUCAGUGUGUGUGUUAGUGGAAGCGUCUGGAAAGGCGCGCGAUACAGGGUGACAGCCCCGUACACAAAAAUGCACAUGCUGUGAGCUCGAUGAGUAGGGCGGGACACGUGGUAUCCUGUCUGAAUAUGGGGGGACCAUCCUCCAAGGCUAAAUACUCCUGACUGACCGAUAGUGAACCAGUACCGUGAGGGAAAGGCGAAAAGAACCCCGGCGAGGGGAGUGAAAAAGAACCUGAAACCGUGUACGUACAAGCAGUGGGAGCCUCUUUAUGGGGUGACUGCGUACCUUUUGUAUAAUGGGUCAGCGACUUAUAUUCUGUAGCAAGGUUAACCGAAUAGGGGAGCCGAAGGGAAACCGAGUCUUAACUGGGCGUUAAGUUGCAGGGUAUAGACCCGAAACCCGGUGAUCUAGCCAUGGGCAGGUUGAAGGUUGGGUAACACUAACUGGAGGACCGAACCGACUAAUGUUGAAAAAUUAGCGGAUGACUUGUGGCUGGGGUGAAAGGCCAAUCAAACCGGGAGAUAGCUGGUUCUCCCCGAAAGCUAUUUAGGUAGCGCCUCGUGAACUCAUCUCCGGGGGUAGAGCACUGUUUCGGCAAGGGGGUCAUCCCGACUUACCAACCCGAUGCAAACUGCGAAUACCGGAGAAUGUUAUCACGGGAGACACACGGCGGGUGCUAACGUCCGUCGUGAAGAGGGAAACAACCCAGACCGCCAGCUAAGGUCCCAAAGUCAUGGUUAAGUGGGAAACGAUGUGGGAAGGCCCAGACAGCCAGGAUGUUGGCUUAGAAGCAGCCAUCAUUUAAAGAAAGCGUAAUAGCUCACUGGUCGAGUCGGCCUGCGCGGAAGAUGUAACGGGGCUAAACCAUGCACCGAAGCUGCGGCAGCGACACUAUGUGUUGUUGGGUAGGGGAGCGUUCUGUAAGCCUGUGAAGGUGUGCUGUGAGGCAUGCUGGAGGUAUCAGAAGUGCGAAUGCUGACAUAAGUAACGAUAAAGCGGGUGAAAAGCCCGCUCGCCGGAAGACCAAGGGUUCCUGUCCAACGUUAAUCGGGGCAGGGUGAGUCGACCCUAAGGCGAGGCCGAAAGGCGUAGUCGAUGGGAAACAGGUUAAUAUUCCUGUACUUGGUGUUACUGCGAAGGGGGGACGGAGAAGGCUAUGUUGGCCGGGCGACGGUUGUCCCGGUUUAAGCGUGUAGGCUGGUUUUCCAGGCAAAUCCGGAAAAUCAAGGCUGAGGCGUGAUGACGAGGCACUACGGUGCUGAAGCAACAAAUGCCCUGCUUCCAGGAAAAGCCUCUAAGCAUCAGGUAACAUCAAAUCGUACCCCAAACCGACACAGGUGGUCAGGUAGAGAAUACCAAGGCGCUUGAGAGAACUCGGGUGAAGGAACUAGGCAAAAUGGUGCCGUAACUUCGGGAGAAGGCACGCUGAUAUGUAGGUGAAGUCCCUCGCGGAUGGAGCUGAAAUCAGUCGAAGAUACCAGCUGGCUGCAACUGUUUAUUAAAAACACAGCACUGUGCAAACACGAAAGUGGACGUAUACGGUGUGACGCCUGCCCGGUGCCGGAAGGUUAAUUGAUGGGGUUAGCGGUAACGCGAAGCUCUUGAUCGAAGCCCCGGUAAACGGCGGCCGUAACUAUAACGGUCCUAAGGUAGCGAAAUUCCUUGUCGGGUAAGUUCCGACCUGCACGAAUGGCGUAAUGAUGGCAGGCUGUCUCCACCCGAGACUCAGUGAAAUUGAACUCGCUGUGAAGAUGCAGUGUACCCGCGGCAAGACGGAAAGACCCCGUGAACCUUUACUAUAGCUUGACACUGAACAUUGAGCCUUGAUGUGUAGGAUAGGUGGGAGGCUUUGAAGUGUGGACGCCAGUCUGCAUGGAGCCGACCUUGAAAUACCACCCUUUAAUGUUUGAUGUUCUAACGUUGGCCCCUGAUCGGGGUUGCGGACAGUGUCUGGUGGGUAGUUUGACUGGGGCGGUCUCCUCCUAAAGAGAAACGGAGGAGCACGAAGGUUGGCUAAUCCUGGUCGGACAUCAGGAGGUUAGUGCAAUGGCAUAAGCCAGCUUGACUGCGAGCGUGACGGCGCGAGCAGGUGCGAAAGCAGGUCAUAGUGAUCCGGUGGUUCUGAAUGGAAGGGCCAUCGCUCAACGGAUAAAAGGUACUCCGGGGAUAACAGGCUGAUACCGCCCAAGAGUUCAUAUCGACGGCGGUGUUUGGCACCUCGAUGUCGGCUCAUCACAUCCUGGGGCUGAAGUAGGUCCCAAGGGUAUGGCUGUUCGCCAUUUAAAGUGGUACGCGAGCUGGGUUUAGAACGUCGUGAGACAGUUCGGUCCCUAUCUGCCGUGGGCGCUGGAGAACUGAGGGGGGCUGCUCCUAGUACGAGAGGACCGGAGUGGACGCAUCACUGGUGUUCGGGUUGUCAUGCCAAUGGCACUGCCCGGUAGCUAAAUGCGGAAGAGAUAAGUGCUGAAAGCAUCUAAGCACGAAACUUGCCCCGAGAUGAGUUCUCCCUGACUCCUUGAGAGUCCUGAAGGAACGUUGAAGACGACGACGUUGAUAGGCCGGGUGUGUAAGCGCAGCGAUGCGUUGAGCUAACCGGUACUAAUGAACCGUGAGGCUUAACCUU